rnacentral:rRNA from 1 species
UACGUAGGGUGCGAGCGUUGUCCGGAAUUAUUGGGCGUAAAGAGCUUGUAGGCGGUUUGUCGCGUCUGCCGUGAAAAUCCGAGGCUCAACCUCGGACUUGCGGUGGGUACGGGCAGACUAGAGUGUGGUAGGGGAGACUGGAAUUCCUGGUGUAGCGGUGAAAUGCGCAGAUAUCAGGAGGAACACCAAUUGCGAAGGCAGCUCGCUGGGACGUUACUGACGCUGAGACGCGAAAGCGUGGGGAGCAAACAGG